AUUGAACGCUGGCGGCAUGCCUUACACAUGCAAGUCGAACGGCAGCGCGGGGCAACCUGGCGGCGAGUGGCGAACGGGUGAGUAAUAUAUCGGAACAUACCCUAGAGUGGGGAUAACGUAGCGAAGUUACGCUAAUACCGCAUACGCACUAAGGUGGAAAGUGGGGGAUUCGCAAGAACCUCAUGCUCAUGGAGUGGCCGAUAUCUGAUUAGCUAGUUGGUGAGGUAAAGGCUCACCAAGGCAACGAUCAGUAGCUGGUUUGAGAGAACGACCAGCCACACUGGAACUGAGACACGGUCCAGACUCCUACGGGAGACAGCAGUGGGGAAUUUUGGACAAUGGGGGGCAACCCUGAUCCAGCAAUGCCGCGUGAGUGAAG
rnacentral:rRNA from 1 species